CUAAUCUCAUUUCAUCUAUCUCAUCUCAUAUCAUAUCAUAUAUCAUCUCAUCUCAUCACAGCAUCUCAUAUUAUAUCUUUCAUGUCAUUUCAUAUCAUAUCUCAUGUCAUCUCUCAUCUCAUGUCAUAUAAGGUUAACAGUUAUUAAAGCUGGCAAGUAAAUAGUGUACAAAAAAAUAUCGAUGGUUUGUUGUAAAUGGAAGUUUGACAGGAAAAGAGUUAUGCGUCUUGAGCUUAGAUGGUCGAAUUCCGUUUUAAGCUUCUUAGCUAGUGGAUCUUGUGCUAUUUUUGUGUUCCAUUGUGAUUUGGGAAGUGACGGCAAAAUAUUGAAUGUGCAUUUUUGGUUUGUAAUCAAAACAAAUUUGGCUAACAAUUUCAUUGAAUAAUUAGUGAAUUAAUUUGGUUUUUGAUAGUAUGGAUUUUUUGAAGUGCAGUAGCCUUAGUUUCAGAGGUUGUGAGUAUAUUAAAUUGUUAUCAGAAGUCUUAUGGUUGAUUACUGUUGGAGAAGUAAGAAGUUCGUUGCCAUUAAUAUAUCAUCAUCUUUAGGCCAUAGUCUUAGGGUCUGUGCUAAUGGAAACAGAGUCAUGGGAUCCUAUGAUUGUAUCACAAGUCUUAGAAAAUUAUCUGAGGUGCAUCAUUCGUCACUUGAUGCAGAAUGAGAUCAGGAAUGUUUGAAUCUUCUUCACUUGACAAAGCUUUGGUUUGUUUUUGGUUUUUUGUUUUUUUUUUUUUUUUUUUUUUUUUUUUUUGCUGGGUAGUUGGUUUUUAAAUCUCUGAAAGAUCUAAUAUAUGAGUAUCUGCCUCCUUCAACGACUAUGCUUUUGGUUUCUCUUUGCUUCAUUUUCGAACACUACUGGGUGGUGGUGGUCUUUUUAAGGUUCGGUUUGACAACAUAAAAUUUUCAUCUCAAACUCAAAAUUCUUAUAAGAAGUAACCAGGAAGCGUUUUUAAGGUUGAGGCAUGAUUCAUUUUUAUUUCUCUAAUAUUUGAGUACUUAGCUUUUGGUAGAUUUAACAAAAGAAUUCGCAUAUUUUAAUUUUUACUAUCUCAUAUACUAUCUCAAAAGUACACAUUCCAGUCUUCAAACAUUGAUGCUUCUAUCUAGAAAGAAUAUUUUCCUCAAUUUCUCUUUUUUUCAUUCCGUGGAUAUAUAUGAGCCCUGAGUACUUUAUAGAAGGGUUUGUGCCAUGGAAAGGUUGAUCGGGUAGACUUUAGCAUAUACAGGUUGAAAAGGAAAGUCUAAGGUAGGGUUAUCAUAUUAUUUUUUUGGUGUUUUGACAUUAUUUUUAUAUUCCUUGCAUAAUUACAUUAAUAAUCGAUUGGAAAGAUUUUAAGUUGUGCACUCUUUGAGAACUCUCAAUGGAAACAAGAAGAGAUGGCCACAGGAGUUGUUGUUCCCCUGCAACAGCAAGAGCUAAAGAACUCUUGAGAAAUUCUAUCUCAAGUGAGGUGAGAUGAGAUGGAUGAGAUGACAUGAGAUUAGGACUUUCAUUUGAUGCAGUCGUGAAAUUUAAAGCUGAACAAAAAAGGGUACGAAUUUCUCAGUAAAUUAUUGCAUGCUAUUUUGUGGAUUAAUUGCUCGUCUAUUGCUUUGAAUUAGUUUAGUGACAUUAUUUAGCUCUCUUUUUUCAACCAAAUCUUGGUAUUCUUUUAUUUUUGUGUACUUAUUCUCUUGAGUGGUUCGUUUUUGCAUUGCUAUUUUUUUGUGGAUAAUCUCACGAAGUAUGCAUUGCUGUGCAGAAAAAGGUACCGAAUACUUGCAUCUUUACUAGUAUGGGUCAACUUUGGUGUGAUGAUACUCAUAAAAAAAUAACUUUGGUGUGAUUGAUGUAGCACGAAAACGAUAUAGAGUAUAUUUUGCCGAUAGAAUUCUUGCACAACCUUGGUUUUUGUUAGAACCCAAGGGAUGCACGUAAGUUUAAACAUUUUCGACAAAUAAAAUAUGGUCCAGUUUAAUGUCUCGAACGAUGAAAUCCUGAAUAAUUUAGUUUGUGUUUCUGCACACCUUUCUCCCUUUUUGAUUUUGUAUUCAGUAGACAUAAAUUCACUUUAUUAAUUCAAGAACAGUUAUAAUCCUUUCUUCCA